rnacentral:tRNA from 1 species
UCUGUGGCUUAGUUGGUGGAAGUGCCGGUCUUGUGAAUACGUAGUCGUGGGUUCGAAUCCCACCAGA